rnacentral:lncRNA from 1 species
AUAAACAUACACGAAUAAGUUAUCAAUCAAGCAGUUAAACAAAUUGAAUUCACAACUUAUGAAAUCACAACCGAAGGUAAUCAAAUCAUAUUGCAAGCAUGAACAUGGUUUCGAAUUCCCCCCUAGCUAAGGGGGGGUUUAGUUCCUCAUACUCACAAAGCAAAGAUAAACAAAUUUAGACAUUGAAAACAAAAGAAUGAAAACACCUAAAAACGCUCCAACAAUCCAACUUGAAUGGCAAGCACGUCCAAGGGUCCUCCUUCUUAUCUUUGUUGCGGCACAAGGUGUGGUUUGAUGGAUGAGUGAUGUGAAAAAUAAGUUAACACACAAAAUUAAACCCUCUUUUUAUCAAUUGUAGCAAAGUAUGUAAAUAGGGAUCGUUCUAGACCGGGGAUUAGGAGGGAUUGCUAAACACUUGAAAACUGACUUAGAAAUGUAAAAACAAAGUUUAAAGCACUAGAUUAGACUCAAAAAAUGCAAAACUAAACUCUAAAACACUAAAACGAACCAAAAGAAUCAAAACAGCAACCAAACACUCAAAACUGCCUAAAAACCACUUUCUGGGCAGUUUUGAACACAAAGCAUCAAAUUGGACGAAUUUGGGUUUUAACUUGUACCAAAACACUUAAAAACAUAAACCAACACAUUUUCCAAUUAAUCUAGGAAUUCAAAAUAAUUGGGGAUUUGAUUUGGACGAAAAUAAACUUAAAUGGCAGAUUGUAAGAGAAACAAAUUGUAAUACAAAGUUAUGAAGAAUCAAUGGAUGAUGGAAUGGCUAAGGGGUUCUUCUCCACACAUGAAAUAUAUGCAACGUAAAUCAAUUUCCAGUUAUCAAUUCAAUAAGUUAUGAACCUCAACAUUCCAAGUUAAUUAGGUCCGCUUAAAUUAACCUUCAGAUUUCCCUAGGAUCAUUGAAUUGGAUGAAUAUGCAUCGCAAACAAAUUAUUCCUAACAAGUUCUUUAUAUGAACAACAUGAUAAAGACACAAGUUAGAAUCAUUACGUUCUUUGGAAAUCAUAAGCAUCGACAAGGCAUUCGUAACUAUGAAAAGCAUGAUACUCUUGCCAGGAAUCUACUUAACACGAUCGUGACUAGCGACCUUCACUACUUACGAAUAUAAAUUCAUAACGAUUAGGUGAAACAAAUUUAUAUCCUAUCAUCAAAUUCAAGCAUGCAAAUUAAGCGUGCACUCUCAAUCAACAUACAAGAAUAAGUUCUAAAUCAAAUGGUUAAGCAAAUUGUAUUCACGACUUAUGUAACAAUAACUGGAAGUAAUCAACUCAUUUCACAUAUAUAAUCAUGGUUUUGAUUACACCCUUAGCCAAAA